CCCUUAGAUGUUCUGGGCCGCACGCGCGCUACACUGAUGCGUUCAACGAGUAUACAACCUUGAUCGAUAGGUCUGGGUAAUCUUGUGAAUGCGCAUCGUGCUAGGGAUAGAUUGUUGCAAUUUUCAAUCUUGAACGAGGAAUUCCUAGUAAACGCAAGUCAUCAGCUUGCAUUGAUUACGUCCCUGCCCUUUGUACACACCGCCCGUCGCUUCUACCGAUUGGACGCUGCGGUGAAGACCUGGGAUUGAGAAGGGGGGUUUGGAGGUUUUCGGAUUUCCAGCCCCUCGUCCCGAGAACUCGUCUGAACCCCAUCGUCUAGAGGAAGAAGAAGUCGUAACA
rnacentral:rRNA from 1 species